rnacentral:rRNA from 1 species
UACGUAGGGUGCGAGCGUUAAUCGGAAUUACUGGGCGUAAAGCGUGCGCAGGCGGUUCGUUAAGUCAGCUGUGAAAGCCCCGGGCUCAACCUGGGAAUUGCGGUUGAAACUGGCGAACUAGAAUCUGGCAGAGGGGGGUGGAAUUCCACGUGUAGCAGUGAAAUGCGUAGAUAUCAGGAGGAACACCGAUGGCGAAGGCAGGUCUCUGGGCUGAUACUGACGCUCAUGCACGAAAGCGUGGGGAGCAAACAGG